rnacentral:rRNA from 1 species
CCUACGGGAGGCAGCAGUAAGGAAUAUUGGACAAUGGGCGAAAGCCUGAUCCAGCCAUGCCGCGUGAAGGAUUAAGGUCCUCUGGAUUGUAAACUUCUUUUAUGUGGGACGAAAAAAGGGCAUUCUUGCUCACUUGACGGUACCAUAUGAAUAAGCACCGGCUAACUCCGUGCCAGCAGCCGCGGUAAUACGGAGGGUGCAAGCGUUAUCCGGAUUCACUGGGUUUAAAGGGUGCGUAGGCGGAUAGGUAAGUCAGUGGUGAAAUCUCGAAGCUUAACUUCGAAACUGCCAUUGAUACUAUCUAUCUUGAAUAUUGUGGAGGUUUGCGGAAUAUGUCAUGUAGCGGUGAAAUGCUUAGAUAUGACAUAGAACACCGAUUGCGAAGGCAGCAGGCUACACAUAUAUUGACGCUGAGGCACGAAAGCGUGGGGAUCAAACAGGAUUAGAUACCCUGGUAGUCCACGCCCUAAACGAUGAUUACUCGACAUACGCGAUACACUGUGUGUGUCUGAGCGAAAGCAUUAAGUAAUCCACCUGGAAGUACGUCCGCAAGGAUGAAACUCAAAUGAAUUGACGG